rnacentral:rRNA from 1 species
UACGUAGGGGGCAAGCGUUGUCCGGAUUUAUUGGGCGUAAAGAGCGUGUAGGCGGCCGUACAGGUCAGCUGUGAAAACUCGAGGCUCAACCUCGAGAUGUCGGUUGAAACCGUACGGCUAGAGUCCGGAAGAGGAGAGUGGAAUUCCCGGUGUAGCGGUGAAAUGCGCAGAUAUCGGGAAGAACACCCGUGGCGAAGGCGGCGCUCUGGGACGGUACUGACGCUGAGACGCGAAAGCGUGGGGAGCGAACAGG